rnacentral:rRNA from 1 species
ACUGCCGGUGACAACCGGAGGAAGGUGGGGAUGACGUCAAGUCCUCAUGGCCCUUAUAGGUGGGGCGUACACACGUCAUACAAUGGCCGGUCAAAGGGCAGCCAACCCGCGAGGGGGGAGCCAAUCCCAUAAAGCCGGUCGUAGUCCGGAUCGCAGUCUGCAACUCGACUGCGUGAAGUCGGAAUCGCUAGUAAUCGUGGAUCAGUAUGUCACGGUGAAUACGUUCCCGGGUCUU